rnacentral:rRNA from 1 species
UACGGAAGGGGCGAGCGUUGUUCGGAAUCAUUGGGCGUAAAGGGCGCGUAGGUGGUUCUGUAUGUCUACCGUGAAAGCGUACGGCUCAACCGUAUUUUGUCGGUAGAAACUGCAGGACUUGAGGCUGGGAGGGGCUGGUGGAAUUCCCUGUGUAGCGGUGAAAUACGCAGAUAUCGGGAAGAACACCCGUGGCGAAGGCGGUUCUCUGGGACGGUACUGACGCUGAGACGCGAAAGCGUGGGGAGCGAACAGG